UUCGAUACGCAUAACAACGAUCCCACUGGGGACAAACAAAAGUAGCGUCGUCUCCACCGACCCAGUUGUCAGUGGCAACAUAUAGGAAUCGUGUACAUUUCUUCGUUUCUUCUUUGCUGUUUUCAGUGAGUGUUUUGUUUUCUCUUUGUCCUUGAUCUCGACGAUGUUGUCGUGCUCAUUACCUUACUGAGACGUCUCUUGUGACUGUAGCCAGUGUCAUGGAGGAUUUUAUUGGCGUGACAAGGUAGAUCGCCGAGAUCGAGCGUGAAAAACGCUCUGCAUUAGUAGCUCCUGUAGAAUGUUUUCUGGGUUGGCGUAUCCAUGGUCAACAAAACCAAGGUGCAAGACAGCAUGAGAGAUCGUGUAAACGAUGUGAACUCCAAAAGAUAAUCUGGCCAAAUUUAUUGUAACUAGAGAGUGCAAUCGUGCACUGCUUGGGGCCCAUCCCAAUGUCAUCACAUGGCUGUGGUGACUAGUGUAUAUCUGGGAGAAUUUUUCCUCGACUGAUACGGAGUGCAGGUGGAUCGAUUAUGAGAAAUGCGAACAUGUGAAGUUCAAGGCUAGAUGCACUUCACAUUCGGCGUGCGAUCUCAGCGUCUGGGACCUGAUGAAGUCUUGGUUGGAUGAUUAUUCAAGCCUGAUACUACUCGACACACCAAUGUUCAUGUCAAUGUAAUAUUUUCAGAGCUGCACUAUUUACGUGUUGAUGCUUACUUCGGUGUUAGCGUGUUUCCCCCGGAUUGUUUCUAUCAUCAUGAUCGUGUGUUCUUGGGCUGAGCGAGCACAUGCACAAGUGUGCAGCUAUAACCCUGUGUAUCUUUGGUUACACUUUGUUCUGCAAUGCAUGUACCUUGUAACAUUAUGUAUGUGCUUGCACUGCUUUGUCUGGCCUGCGUAUUUCAGGACUAUUCAGUGCAUUAGACCCAGGUUUGUUUGGUUGCCGGAUGACCUCUUGGUGCGUCGCUCUGUAUUUGUAUUCAUCAAUUUUUGGGCUUGAGAAUUGAGCUGUUGUGUGGUUCCCAAUAUGAAAACAUCAUGCUGGUGCUCUGUGUUUCGAUUAUCGACUGUCGGAGCAGUCAUGCAUUUAUUAGCAGAACGGUCAAUACUGUAGUCUUUUCA